UUUCAUAGCAAAGAAAAGAUGGAUUAAAUGUGUGCUGAUUACUAUACAGCUGGGACUUUUUAACAAAAUGCCUGCAUACUUGUGGUACACCAAAGAGCUAAACUGUCUUCUCAGAAGCACUUAAACUGUGAAUCUUUGAGUACUCUUACUUGCAGUGAUGAGGUCUCAGCUUUGGUCCCUCAGCAUGCUGGGCUGUAUUCCUUGUGUGGGUGAUGUUUCGAGGAAACACAGGAGCAUCUUUGUGUAUAUUACUGCACCUUUAUACCCGUGUCAUCCAAGGAGCUUGUACCAAAAAUGUUAUCUUUAUGAUGAUGUGACAUAAAUGGUCCUGUGAGAGCACGUGUGAGGGCCAGAGAUGAGGAGGAGGAAGGUGAGAGACACACAAAAUGAGGAGCAGCAGCAGACAUGCAGUGUGUCUCCAGCCGGGACACUUGGGCUUCUCCUGGAGUUACAGCCCACACUGGUGUUCUGGGAAAUGGAAACAGCAAGAGCAAAGAAGCUACCAGCUGGUGGUGGGCAUCAUGGGAAGGAUGGCGUGGUGGGAAAAUGAGGCUGCCCUAUGGACAAGACAAGUAGUGUGUGAGUGUGAACAGCAAAACCAGAAUGGAGGGAGUGGGGAAAAAAUGAGGGAGAAAGAAAUAUACUCCAAAAUAGCAAAAUAAAUGCAAUUUUCAGUAUAAACUAGUCUAGAAGCAACCUGAAUACUGUUAAUACCCUACAGACAAUUUACUCAAAAAUAGUUUCUUUAGUUGGUGUCUCACCCUUAGCUGUGAUGAAAACCCUCAUAAAGGGCUGAGGGCAAAGUUGGAUUUGGUACCUUGUGGAUCUGCCUGUUGGUUGUGGAACUGCAACAGAUCAAAAGGAUCGGAAACUUUGUAUCUCGCAGCAUGUCCUGAAUACCCAAGUAUGCCACCUGUCUGCUGUGCUACCUGCCGUUCUGUGCCCAAAGCCUGGACGAGGGUGGAUGCUGGGUGAAGCUAAACUGCCUGUUCUGCUGCGUGUGGGCACUUCAGACUUUUUGGGCCUUCCACCAUCCACUCUCUGCAGAGAAAGAAAGUAACUUGGCUUGGGGAGGCUGUCAGAAAUCCUGAGCUUGCACUAAAAAACAACCCCUGGGUCCGGUGCCUGGCUGCUGACAUGAAAGCUAGAAAUUGUCGUCUUAGUAGAAGUAACAACU
rnacentral:lncRNA from 1 species